rnacentral:tRNA from 1 species
UGCAAGUAUAGUUUAAUCCAAACAUUAGACUGUGAUUCUAAAAAUAGAAGUUAAACCCUUCUUACCUGCCGAGGGGAGGUU